CUCCUCCUCGCCAGAGGCAGAGCAGAAGCACCUGAGCUGAGGCAAGAGCACAUGGCGGAGAGCUGAAGCUAGAAGACAGACUUCUCCCUGCUACCAAAUGAUAUGAGCCAUGGCUCAGAGAGCUUUUCAUGGAUCCCAUCUGGCUUCUCCAGGCAGUGAGAGUGGGGCAAGUCCUCUGCCUCAAGGGAUGCUGCUAUCUACACAUGUAACUACCUUAUACCAAAUCAUACCAUCAAGGGAGUCCCCUGAGAUACGGUGACCUUGUCUGCAUGUGGGCUGCAGCUGCUGACUUUGUGACAGCCACUCAGACAUGACGUCUCCUACCAGAAAGAACGAGCUGGAGGACUGCCAGAAAAUACAUGAUUUGGAAAUUUCACACACACACAAAUUUCCCCCUCCAAGCACUCAGAUAUGUUCGCUUUCCCCUCUAUUAUGCAUCUUUUAACUAAUCCUCAGCUGCUCACUAUAGUCCUGCUUUCUAGCAGGUACUCGGGCAUCACCAGGCCAUGGAAGGAGGAGUCUUUUUCUUUCUUAAGUUAGAAAGCCAUAUUUUUAUGCAUACCUGGGGAGUCCUCUGAAUAUUAAGUGAUUCCUCUCUAGUAUGUGACAAGACUGGUUUUAUUGCCUUUGCGAUUGGCACAUGGGGUCUACCGCUUUACUAUUAG